GUGAUUAAAGCACACACACAUUUAUAAAGUCAAUCAUCCCUCCGUUCUUCGCCUGUGUAAAGACUGGUUAGUUCAUUAGUUAGUAAAGUGCACUUAGAUCACACUGAAUGUUCAUGUUGUGUUCAUUUUGUGUAGUUGACAUUUUAGCGGCAGCUAAAGAUGCAUCAGAAUGAAAGACGAUGAAGGAAAUGAAUGAAAUGGAAUUAUUGACUGAUAAACUCACCUUUAUUGUUGACAUUUGUUGUUUUUUGUUUUUCAGAGAUUUGUGGGAGAAGGCGGAUCGGACCUGCUCUGUCUGUCACACAUUAGCCACGCCCCCUAAUCCAUCACCUGAUGUACAGCUGGAGGACGAGGCUCAUCCUUGACCUCAGGUUUCUGGCUCAGAGAAGACACCGAUCACGGCUCCUCCACGUCGUCCAGGCCAGUUUAAUUACCCAACAUCCUCUCUGCCCAGGGGUUCAACAUGAGACAGCGGUCUGGCUGGAUGAAGACCAGAGUACAGUCCAGAUGUUAACCAGGUGUGUCUUUGCCGUCGUCGUCUCUGAGCCCCCUCAGCUGUUUUCAUCCGACAGAGCUCCUCCCACAUCCAUCUCCAGAUCGGAGGUGAUAAAUGAAGCCGCUGUGGAAACAAGACAUCCACUUUAUGAGGUCGGCCAGCAGCCGAAGUCAUUAAACUCAGCUUCAGUUUCAUCAGGUCUCACAUCGAACCCCAUCAUGUUCAGAGGACAAGUCAGUGGAGUGAGGAGAAGAGGACGGACGGGAUUGGCCGGGCACUUUGAUUGA
ensembl:lncRNA